rnacentral:rRNA from 1 species
UCCGAAGGGGGCUAGCGUUGUUCGGAAUUACUGGGCGUAAAGCGCGCGCAGGCGGCUAUCCAAGUCAGUGGUGAAAGCCCGGAGCUCAACUCCGGAACUGCCAUUGAAACUGUUUAGCUUGAGGACGAGAGAGGUGAGUGGAAUUCCCAGUGUAGAGGUGAAAUUCGUAGAUAUUGGGAAGAACACCGGUGGCGAAGGCGGCUCACUGGCUCGUUUCUGACGCUCAGGCGCGACAGCGUGGGGAUCAAACAGG